UACGUAGGGUGCAAGCGUUAAUCGGAAUUACUGGGCGUAAAGCGUGCGCAGGCGGUUAUGUAAGACAGAUGUGAAAGUGCCCGGGCUUAACCUGGGAACUGCAUUUGUGACUGCAUGGCUAGAGUUUGGCAGAGGGGGGUAGAAUUCCACGUGUAGCAGUGAAAUGCGUAGAUAUGUGGAGGAACACCGAUGGCGAAGGCAGCCCCCUGGGUCAAGACUGACGCUCAUGGACACGAAAGGCG
rnacentral:rRNA from 1 species